ACAUACGACCAUAGGGUGUGGAAAACAGGGCUUCCCGUCCGCUCAGCCGUACUUGAGCCAC
rnacentral:rRNA from 1 species